AUUAAACGCUGGCGGCAUGCCUUACACAUGCAAGUCGAACGGCAGCACGGGGGCAACCCUGGUGGCGAGUGGCGGACGGGUGAGUAAAGCAUCGGAACGUAUCCCGGAGUGGGGGAUAACGUAGCGAAAGUUACGCUAAUACCGCAUAUUCUGUGAGCAGGAAAGCAGGGGAUCGCAAGACCUUGCGCUCUGGGAGCGGCCGAUGUCGGAUUAGCUAGUUGGUGGGGUAAAGGCCUACCAAGGCGACGAUCCGUAGCGGGUCUGAGAGGAUGAUCCGCCACACUGGGACUGAGACACGGCCCAGACUCCUACGGGAGGCAGCAGUGGGGAAUUUUGGACAAUGGGCGGAAGCCUGAUCCAGCCAUGCCGCGUGAGUGAAGAAGGCCUCGG
rnacentral:rRNA from 1 species